rnacentral:rRNA from 1 species
AUAAUAAUUUGUUUUUUAAAUAAAAACUAGUAUGAAUGGCUUCACAUUUUCUAACUGUCUCUCUUUAUUCUCUUUUAAAUUUCUACUUCCGUGAAGAAGCGGAAAUAAUUAUAUAAGACGAGAAGACCCUGUCGAGCUUUAGCCAAUUUAAAAUAAAUAUUAUUAAAAAGGCUUUGGUUGGGGCAACCAUGGAGAAAAUUUAUCCUCCAGAAAUUAAAGAUGAAUUAUUAUUCUCUUAAUCUAAACUUGAACCAAUUUAUUUUGGUAAUCAGAAAUAGUUACCGCAGGGAUAACAGCGUAAUCUUCUUUAAGAGCCCAUAUUGACA